rnacentral:rRNA from 1 species
CAAAACUUUCAACAACGGAUCUCUUGGUUCUGGCAUCGAUGAAGAACGCAGCGAAAUGCGAUAAGUAAUGUGAAUUGCAGAAUUCAGUGAAUCAUCGAAUCUUUGAACGCACAUUGCGCCCUCUGGUAUUCCGGGGGGCAUGCCUGUUCGAGCGUCAUUAC